UGGCGGCAGGCCUAACACAUGCAAGUCGAACGCUCGUAGCAAUACAAGAGUGGCAGACGGGUGAGUAACACGUGGGAACCUUCCCUAUGGUUCGGAAUAGCUCAGGGAAACUUGGGGUAAUACCGGAUAAGCCCUUCGGGGGAAAGAUUUAUCGCCAUUGGAUGGGCCCGCGUAGGAUUAGCUAGUUGGUGAGGUAACGGCUCACCAAGGCGACGAUCCUUAGCUGGUCUGAGAGGAUGAUCAGCCACACUGGGACUGAGACACGGCCCAGACUCCUACGGGAGGCAGCAGUGGGGGAUAUUGGACAAUGGGCGCAAGCCUGAUCCAGCCAUGCCGCGUGAGUGACGAAGGUCUUCGGAUUGUAAAACUCUUUUGGCGGGGACGAUAAUGACGGUACCCGCAGAAUAAGCCCCGGCUAACUUCGUGCCAGCAGCCGCGGUAAUACGAAGGGGGCUAGCGUUGUUCGGAAUCACUGGGCGUAAAGCGCACGUAGGCGGAUGUGUCAGUCAGGGGUGAAAUCCCGGAGCUCAACUUCGGAACUGCCUCUGAUACAGCACGUCUUGAGUUCGAGAGAGGUGGGUGGAAUUCCUAGUGUAGAGGUGAAAUUCGUAGAUAUUAGGAAGAACACCGGUGGCGAAGGCGGCCCACUGGCUCGAUACUGACGCUGAGGUGCGAAAGCG
rnacentral:rRNA from 1 species